ACGGAGGGUCCAAGCGUUAUCCGGAUUUAUUGGGUUUAAAGGGUACGUAGGCGGAACUUUAAGUCAGUAGUGAAAGCCCAUCGCUCAACGAUGGAACUGCUAUUGAAACUGAUUUUCUUGAAUAUAGUUGAAGUAGGCGGAAUACGACAUGUAGCGGUGAAAUGCAUAGAUAUGUCGUGGAACACCAAUCGCGAAGGCAGCUUACUAAGCUAUUAUUGACGCUAAGGUACGAAAGCGUGGGGAGCGAACAGG
rnacentral:rRNA from 1 species